rnacentral:tRNA from 1 species
GGCUCAUUAGUCUAGCGGCCUAGGACAUCGCCCUCUCACGGCGAGAACAGGGGUUCGAGUCCCCUAUGAGUCACCA